UCAAUCCAAUCCGAGAUCCGAUUAGUUAUCGUAAACACCCACUGAUUGUGUUUAGGGUUUUACUCGUGCAAUUCUAUUAUAAUUCGUUAAGUUAACUCGUAUAUUGCAGAGUGGAAGGUUGAACGAGUCCGUACCAAUUAAGAAAAAGAAGAAAAUGAUUGGAGGGAUAAUUAAAUCAUUUGGAGGUUUAUUCGACGCGUUUUCGCACGAAAUGAACGAAUCUGGCAGAAAAAAGUGUCGGACUGACCCGCGAAUCGAGAUAUCAAGCUUUAAAGUUGACGACUAUUUAGGUUAGGAUAUCUAACCUAACGUUUGACUACGAAGAUAUUCGAUUCGCCAGUCAGAUAUUCGGAAGAAACGUAUACUUGUAAGUCGCGCUAAUGGCGAUGAAGUUUGUUAUAUCACGUUAAUAAUAAUAAUAAUGUUUGUUAUAUACCGUAAUAACAAUAAUAAAAAAUAUAUAUAUAUAA